GACGAACGCUGGCGGCGUGCUUAACACAUGCAAGUCGAGCGGUAAGGCCCUUUCGGGGGUACACGAGCGGCGAACGGGUGAGUAACACGUGGGUGACCUGCCCUUAGCUCUGGGAUAAGCCUGGGAAACUGGGUCUAAUACCGGAUAUGACUCCAUGACGCAUGUUGUGGGGUGGAAAGCCUUGUGCGGCUAGGGAUGGGCCUGCGGCCUAUCAGCUUGUUGGUGGGGUGAUGGCCUACCGAGGCGACGACGGGUAGCCGGCCUGAGAGGGCGACCGGCCACACUGGGACUGAGACACGGCCCAGACUCCUACGGGAGGCAGCAGUGGGGAAUCUUGCGCAAUGGGCGAAAGCCUGACGCAGCGACGCCGCGUGGGGAUGACGGCCUCGGUUGUAA
rnacentral:rRNA from 1 species